rnacentral:rRNA from 1 species
ACGUGUGCAACCUACCUUUAUCAGGGGGAUAGCCUUUCGAAAGGAAGAUUAAUACCCCAUAAUAUAUUGAAUGGCAUCAUUUGAUAUUGAAAACUCCGGUGGAUAGAGAUGGGCACGCGCAAGAUUAGAUAGUUGGUGAGGUAACGGCUCACCAAGUCAGUGAUCUUUAGGGGGCCUGAGAGGGUGAUCCCCCACACUGGUACUGAGACACGGACCAGACUCCUACGGGAGGCAGCAGUGAGGAAUAUUGGACAAUGGGUGAGAGCCUGAUCCAGCCAUCCCGCGUGAAGGAUGACGGCCCUAUGGGUUGUAAACUUCUUUUGUAUAGGGAUAAACCUUUCCACGUGUGGAAAGCUGAAGGUACUAUACGAAUAAGCACCGGCUAACUCCGUGCCAGCAGCCGCGGUAAUACGGAGGGUGCAAGCGUUAUCCGGAUUUAUUGGGUUUAAAGGGUCCGUAGGCGGACUCGUAAGUCAGUGGUGAAAUCUCAUAGCUUAACUAUGAAACUGCCAUUGAUACUGCGGGUCUUGAGUAAGGUAGAGGUAGCUGG